rnacentral:misc_RNA from 1 species
GAAAACCACAGCAUCUGGGUGGGCAGCAUUUUAGGCUGUAGAAGUACUUAAUAUACACACUGGGAUCCUGUUCGUAUAAGGGAAUGAAAUGUGAGUUCGGGAUCCCAGGUCUUCUUUCCCUGCACUGUUGUAUGUUUAUGGUCUUUACUCGGAUACUCUGAAUAAUAUUUGAUGGGAGCAUGAUUUGGUUUUUUGGUGUUACAUGAAUGUACAAUUUUAAUAU